rnacentral:lncRNA from 1 species
AUCAUCACUUGCAAAGUGUCUGGGGUCUUUGGCUGGAGUCUGCUACUCAUGUCUGAAUAUGGCUAAAGGAGUGACUUGGCUUUUCUAGGCUCCAGUUCUUUAAAUACUAAAUAAGAGCAACAUAGUGGACAACUAGAUAUCCAACCACGUAACUUGGUGACUUGGAAGUUCUUGUGUCUAUGCUUCAUGGAUGGGAAUAGUUAGUGAAUCAAACUCUGGCAGUAGAAGAGAACAUAGUGUGCCCUACGACAGACACAGCAGGAAGGCCUGGGAUGAGUGGAGUGAUCAAACACCAAGGCAGAGACUUUCUUUCUCUAAGACAGAUGGAUUUGCCUUGGAUCUUCAAGAACCAAAGGAUGAGCAUCCACAGGUUUUCAAGUGCUAGCACACAGAGAAACAGGCUCUGUAGUAUUCGGUGCUAGCCUUUCUGUCCCUAAAGCUGUAUGGUUUUUUCCAUCUGCAACAUUGGUCUUUCAGCAUGUUGAAGAGCUCUCUGGAUGCCCAGGACUUCAAACAUACAAAUGCAUGAUUGACUGUUCCAACCCUUUACUCAUCAAGGGAUGUUCCAUCAACCUUCUAAGCAUUCUAUAUUAAUGACAUUUUAUUCUCAACAUUUUAUUCUCAUUUUAUUUGUUUGAUACAACAGACAACUGACUCCUCACUUCCAUGUUACAGAUAUAGAAGGUGAGAGGAUAAACACAAGCAGGGGAAAGGUGUUGCAACAG